rnacentral:ncRNA from 1 species
CCGACUGUCUAAUUAAAACAAAGCAUUGUGAUGGCCCUAGCGGGUGUUGACACAAUGUGAUUUCUGCCCAGUGCUCUGAAUGUCAAAGUGAAGAAAUUCAAGUAAGCGCAGGUAGCCAAAUGCCUCGUCAUCUAAUUAGUGACGCGCAUGAAUGGAUUAACGAGAUUCCUACUGUCCCUAUCUACUAUCUAGCGAAACCACAGCCAAGGGAACGGGCUUGGAAUAAUUAGCGGGGAAAGAAGACCCUUUUGAGCUUGACUCUAAUCUGGCAGUGUAAGGAGACAUAAGAGGUGUAGAAUAAGUGGGAGAUAUUAGACCUCGGUUUGGUAUCGUCAAUGAAAUACCACUACUCUUAUUGUUUCCUUACUUACUUGAUUAAAUGGAACGUGUAUCAUUUCCUAGCCAUUAUACGGAUAUAUUUAUUAUAUCUUAUGGUAUUGGGUUUUGAUGCAAGCUUCUUGAUCAAAGUAUCACGAGUUUGUUAUAUAAUCGCAAACAAAUUCUUUAAUAAAACGAUGCAUUUAUGUAUUUUUGAUUUGAAAAUUUGGUAUAACUCCAAUUACUCAGGUAUGAUCCAAUUCAAGGACAUUGCCAGGUAGGGAGUUUGACUGGGGCGGUACAUCUCUCAAAUAAUAACGGAGGUGUCCCAAGGCCAGCUCAGUGCGGACAGAAACCACACAUAGAGCAAAAGGGCAAAUGCUGACUUGAUCUCGGUGUUCAGUACACACAGGGACAGCAAAAGCUCGGCCUAUCGAUCCUUUUGGUUUAAAGAGUUUUUAACAAGAGGUGUCAGAAAAGUUACCAUAGGGAUAACUGGCUUGUGGCGGCCAAGCGUUCAUAGCGACGUCGCUUUUUGAUCCUUUCGAUGUCGGCUCUUCCUAUCAUUGUGAAGCAAAAUUCACCAAGCGUUGGAUUGUUCACCCAUGCAAGGGAACGUGAGCUGGGUUUAGACCGUCGUGAGACAGGUUAGUUUUACCCUACUAAUGACAAAACGUUGUUGCGACAGCAUUCCUGCGUAGUACGAGAGGAACCGCAGGUACGGACCAAUGGCACAAUACUUGUUCGAGCGAACAGUGGUAUGACGCUACGUCCGUUGGAUUAUGCCUGAACGCCUCUAAGGUCGUAUCCGUGCUGGACUGCAAUGAUAAAUAAGGGGCAAUUUGCAUUGUAUGGCUUCUAAACCAUUUAAAGUUUAUAAUUUAUUUUAUAAACGACAAUGGAUGUGAUGCCAAUGUAAUUUGUAACAUAGUAAAUUAGGAGGAUCUUCGAUCACCUGAUGCCGCGCUAGUUACAUAUAAAAGCAUUAUUUAAUACAAUGACAAAGCCUAGAAUCAAUUGUAAACGACUUUUGUAACAGGCAAGGUGUUGUAAGUGGUUGAGCAGCUGCCAUACUGCGAUCCACUGAAGCUUAUCCUUUGCUUGAUGAUUCGA